rnacentral:snRNA from 1 species
AGCUUUGCGCAGUGGCAGUAUUGUAGCCAAUGAGGUUUAUCCAAGGCGCAAUUAUUGGUAAUUGAUUUGUAUUUCCCUGAUGAUGAGUGAUGUUGGGCAUCUUUUCAUGUGUCUCUUAGCUGUCUGGAUGUCUUUGCAAUCUACAUUUUAAAAAUUAUUAUAU